CCUACGGGUGGCAGCAGUGAGGAAUAUUGGUCAAUGGGAGAGAUCCUGAACCAGCCAAGCCGCGUGAGGGAAGACGGUCCUAUGGGUUGUAAACCUCUUCUGCCGGGGAACAAAACCCGGGACGUGUCCCGGACUGCGUGUAUCCGUAGAAAAAGCAUCGGCUAACUCCGGGCCAGCAGCCGCGGUAAUACGGAGGAUGCGAGCGUUAUCCGGAUUUAUUGGGUUAAAAGGGUGGGAAGGCGGUCCGUUAAGUCAGCGGUAAAAUUGCGGGGCUAAACCACGUCGAGCCGUUGAAACUGGCAGACUUGAGUUGGCGAGAGGUACGCGGAAUGCGCGGUGUAGCGGUGAAAUGCAUAGAGAUCGCGCAGAACUCCGAUUGCGAAGGCAGCGUACCGGCGCCAGACUGACGCUGAGGCACGAAAGCGUGGGGAUCGAACAGGAUUAGAUACCCGAGUAGUC
rnacentral:rRNA from 1 species